UGUUGUGAUUCGUGCAGGAAAGUGGAAGAAAUCAGGGUGAAAUAAAUGUGCUUUGUUGCGUUUUGUUGUGAAUGAGAAGUCAGAGGUCAGUGCUCUAAUGAGGAGGGGGCUGCGUCAGGUGACGUUAGCGGACCUGCCGGUCGGUCUCGCAAUCGCCUAGGAAACGCUCGCUGUCGUGGGGGAGGUGGGGGGUAGCUGCUAUCAUCUCUGCAUGGCCACACACACCUGAAAGGAGCACUAGAAGAAGCCGCAGAUCAGAGCUAAGC